UACGUAGGGUGCGAGCGUUAAUCGGAAUUACUGGGCGUAAAGCGUGCGCAGGCGGUUCGUUAAGUCAGAUGUGAAAUCCCCGGGCUUAACCUGGGAACUGCAUCUGUGACUGCAUAGCUAGAGUACGGUAGAGGGGGAUGGAAUUCCGCGUGUAGCAGUGAAAUGCGUAGAUAUGCGGAGGAACACCGAUGGCGAAGGCAAUCCCCUGGACCUGUACUGACGCUCAUGCACGAAAGCGUGGGGAGCAAACAGG
rnacentral:rRNA from 1 species